rnacentral:rRNA from 1 species
GACGAACGCUGGCGGCGUGCUUAACACAUGCAAGUCGAGCGGUAAGGCCCUUUCGGGGGUACACGGGCGGCGAACGGGUGAGUAACACGUGGGUGACCUGCCUUUAGCUCUGGGAUAAGCCUGGGAAACCGGGUCUAAUACCGGAUAUGACUCCGCGGCGCAUGUUGUGGGGUGGAAAGCCUUGUGCGGCUGGAGAUGGGCCCGCGGCCUAUCAGCUUGUUGGUGGGGUGAUGGCCUACCAAGGCGACGACGGGUAGCCGGCCUGAGAGGGCGACCGGCCACACUGGGACUGAGACACGGCCCAGACUCCUACGGGAGGGCAGCAGUGGGGAAUCUUGCGCAAUGGGCGAAAGCCUGACGCAGCGACGCCGCGUGAGGGAUGACGGCCUCGGUUGUAACGUACUU